AGCGUACACGGUGGAUGCCCUGGCAGUCAGAGGCGAUGAAGGACGUGCUAAUCUGCGAAAAGCGCCGGUAAGGUGAUAUGAACCGUUAUAACCGGCGAUGUCCGAAUGGGGAAACCCGGUGCACUUCGGUGCAUCAUCGUUAGCUGAAUACAUAGGCUAACGAGGCGAACCGGGGGAACUGAAACAUCUAAGUACCCCGAGGAAAAGAAAUCAACCGAGAUUCCCCCAGUAGCGGCGAGCGAACGGGGAACAGCCCAGAGCCUGAAUCAGCUUGUGUGUCAGUGGAACGGUCUGGAAAGGCCGGCGAUACAGGGUGACAGCCCCGUACACGAAGGCACACAGGCUGUGAGCUCGAUGAGUAGGGCGGGACACGUGAUAUCCUGUCUGAAGAUGGGGGGACCAUCCUCCAAGGCUAAAUACUCCUGACUGACCGAUAGUGAACCAGUACCGUGAGGGAAAGGCGAAAAGAACCCCGGCGAGGGGAGUGAAACAGAACCUGAAACCGUGUACGUACAAGCAGUGGGAGCCUUCGUAAGAGGGUGACUGCGUACCUUUUGUAUAAUGGGUCAGCGACUUAUAUUCUGUAGCAAGGUUAACCGUAUAGGGGAGCCGAAGGGAAACCGAGUCUUAACCGGGCGUUAAGUUGCAGGGUAUAGACCCGAAACCCGGUGAUCUAGCCAUGGGCAGGUUGAAGGUUGGGUAACACUAACUGGAGGACCGAACCGACUAAUGUUGAAAAAUUAGCGGAUGACCUGUGGCUGGGGGUGAAAGGCCAAUCAAACCGGGAGAUAGCUGGUUCUCCCCGAAAGCUAUUUAGGUAGCGCCUCGUGAAUUCAUCUCCGGGGGUAGAGCACUGUUUCGGCUAGGGGGCCAUCCCGGCUUACCAACCCGAUGCAAACUGCGAAUACCGGAGAAUGUUAUCACGGGAGACACACGGCGGGUGCUAACGUCCGUCGUGAAGAGGGAAACAACCCAGACCGCCAGCUAAGGUCCCAAAGUCAUGGUUAAGUGGGAAACGAUGUGGGAAGGCCCAGACAGCCAGGAUGUUGGCUUAGAAGCAGCCAUCAUUUAAAGAAAGCGUAAUAGCUCACUGGUCGAGUCGGCCUGCGCGGAAGAUGUAACGGGGCUAAACCAUGCACCGAAGCUGCGGCAGCGACGCUUAUGCGUUGUUGGGUAGGGGAGCGUUCUGUAAGCCUGUGAAGGUGUGCUGUGAGGCAUGCUGGAGGUAUCAGAAGUGCGAAUGCUGACAUAAGUAACGAUAAAGCGGGUGAAAAGCCCGCUCGCCGGAAGACCAAGGGUUCCUGUCCAACGUUAAUCGGGGCAGGGUGAGUCGACCCCUAAGGCGAGGCCGAAAGGCGUAGUCGAUGGGAAACAGGUUAAUAUUCCUGUACUUGGUGUUACUGCGAAGGGGGGACGGAGAAGGCUAUGUCAGCCGGGCGACGGUUGUCCCGGUUUAAGCGUGUAGGCUGACUUUCCAGGCAAAUCCGGAGAGUUAAGGCUGAGGCGUGAUGACGAGGCACCACGGUGCUGAAGUGACAAAUGCCCUGCUUCCAGGAAAAGCCUCUAAGCAUCAGGUAACAUCAAAUCGUACCCCAAACCGACACAGGUGGUCAGGUAGAGAAUACCAAGGCGCUUGAGAGAACUCGGGUGAAGGAACUAGGCAAAAUGGUGCCGUAACUUCGGGAGAAGGCACGCUGACAUGUAGGUGAAGCCCCUGCGGGUGGAGCUGAAGUCAGUCGAAGAUACCAGCUGGCUGCAACUGUUUAUUAAAAACACAGCACUGUGCAAACACGAAAGUGGACGUAUACGGUGUGACGCCUGCCCGGUGCCGGAAGGUUAAUUGAUGGGGUUAUCGCAAGAGAAGCUCCUGAUCGAAGCCCCGGUAAACGGCGGCCGUAACUAUAACGGUCCUAAGGUAGCGAAAUUCCUUGUCGGGUAAGUUCCGACCUGCACGAAUGGCGUAAUGAUGGCCAGGCUGUCUCCACCCGAGACUCAGUGAAAUUGAACUCGCUGUGAAGAUGCAGUGUACCCGCGGCAAGACGGAAAGACCCCGUGAACCUUUACUACAGCUUGACACUGAACAUUGAGCCUUGAUGUGUAGGAUAGGUGGGAGGCUUUGAAGCGUGGACGCCAGUCUGCGUGGAGCCGACCUUGAAAUACCACCCUUUAAUGUUUGAUGUUCUAACCUGGCGCCGUGAUCCGGCGUGGGGACAGUGUCUGGUGGGUAGUUUGACUGGGGCGGUCUCCUCCCAAAGUGUAACGGAGGAGCACGAAGGUCAGCUAAUCCUGGUCGGACAUCAGGAGGUUAGUGCAAUGGCAUAAGCUGGCUUGACUGCGAGAGUGACGGCUCGAGCAGGUGCGAAAGCAGGUCAUAGUGAUCCGGUGGUUCUGUAUGGAAGGGCCAUCGCUCAACGGAUAAAAGGUACUCCGGGGAUAACAGGCUGAUACCGCCCAAGAGUUCAUAUCGACGGCGGUGUUUGGCACCUCGAUGUCGGCUCAUCACAUCCUGGGGCUGAAGUAGGUCCCAAGGGUAUGGCUGUUCGCCAUUUAAAGUGGUACGCGAGCUGGGUUUAGAACGUCGUGAGACAGUUCGGUCCCUAUCUGCCGUGGGCGCUGGAGAAUUGAGGGGGGCUGCUCCCAGUACGAGAGGACCGGAGUGGACGCAUCACUGGUGUUCGGGUUGUCAUGCCAAUGGCACUGCCCGGUAGCUAAAUGCGGAAGAGAUAAGUGCUGAAAGCAUCUAAGCACGAAACUUGCCCCGAGAUGAGUUCU
rnacentral:rRNA from 1 species